rnacentral:rRNA from 1 species
CCUACGGGAGGCAGCAGUGGGGAAUAUUGCACAAUGGGGGAAACCCUGAUGCAGCGACGCCGCGUGAGGGAAGAAGUAUUUCGGUAUGUAAACCUCUAUCAGCAGGGAAGAAAAUGACGGUACCUGACUAAGAAGCCCCGUCUAACUACGUUCCAGCAGCCGCGGUAAUACGUAGGGGGCAAGCGUUAUCCGGAUUUACUGGGUGUAAAGGGAGCGUAGGCGGUGCAGCAAGUCAGAAGUGAAAGGCCGGGGCUCAACCCCGGGACUGCUUUUGAAACUGUUGAACUGGAGUGCAGGAGAGGUAAGUGGAAUUCCUAGUGUAGCGGUGAAAUGCGUAGAUAUUAGGAGGAACACCAGUGGCGAAGGCGGCUUACUGGACUGUAAAUGACGCUGAGGCUCGAAAGCGUGGGGAGCAAACAGGAUUAGAUACCCGAGUAGUC